rnacentral:rRNA from 1 species
UACGAAGGUUGCAAGCGUUACUCGGAAUUACUAGGCGUAAAGGGCAGGUAGGUGGUUUGGUAAGUCUGUUGUGAAAGCUCCCGGCUCAACUGGGAGAGGCCAACGGAUACUACCAGGCUUGAGUAUAGGAGAGGUUACUGGAAUUCCCGGUGUAGCGGUGAAAUGCGCAGAUAUCGGGAGGAACACCAAUGGCGAAAGCAGGUAACUGGACUAUUACUGACACUCAACUGCGAAAGCUAGGGGAGCAAACAGG